UUGGAGGGCAAGUCUGGUGCCAGCAGCCGCGGUAAUUCCAGCUCCAAUAGCGUAUAUUAAAGUUGUUGCAGUUAAAGAGCUCGUAGUUGAAUUUCGGGAUCAAUCUGUUGGUUGUGCCUUUGGUACGUACUAGCCUAUUGAUUUCUCCCUUCUGACGAACCAUGAUGUCAUUAAUUUGGUGUCAUGGGGAAUCAGGACUGUUACUUUGAAAAAAUUAGAGUGUUUAAAGCAGGCUCACGCUUGAAUACAUUAGCAUGGAAUAAUGAAAUAGGACGUUUUGAUUCUAUUUUGUUGGUUUCUAGGAUCGACGUAAUGAUUAAUAGGGAUAGUUGGGGGCAUUAGUAUUCAAUUGUCAGAGGUGAAACUCUUGGAUUUAUUGAAGACUAACUACUGCGAAAGCAUUUGCCAAGGAUGUUUUCAUUAAUCAAGGACGAAAGUUAGGGGAUCGAAGACGAUCAGAUACCGUCGUAGUCUUAACCAUAAACUAUGCCGACUAGGGAUCGGAUGAUGUUAAUUUUUUAAUGACUCAUUCGGCGCCUUACGGGAAACCAAAGUGUUUGGGUUC
rnacentral:rRNA from 1 species